rnacentral:rRNA from 1 species
GUGCCAGCAGCCGCGGUAAUACGUAGGGUCCAAGCGUUAUCCGGAAUCACUGGGCGUAAAGCGUGCGUAGGUGGAUUGUUAAGUGCAAUGCGAAAUCCUGUGGCUCAACCAUAUGGACUGUAUUGCAUACUGGCAAUCUAGAGGACAUGAGAGGCAAGUGGAAUUACUGGUGUAGCAGUGAAAUGCGUAGAUAUCAGUAGGAACACCAAUGGCGAAGGCAGCUUGCUGGCAUGUUUCUGACGCUAAGGCACGAAAGCGUGGGGAGCGAACAGGAUUAGAUACCCUGGUAGUCC